GACGAACCGUCCAAACGUUAUUCGGUAUCACUGGGCUUAAAGCGUGCGUAGGCGGCUUGGUAGGUGAGAUGUGAAAGCCCACGGCUCAACCGUGGAAUUGCGUUUCAAACCCCCAAGCUCGAGGAAGAUAGGGGUGAUGGGAACUUAUGGUGGAGCGGUGAAAUGCGUUGAUAUCAUAGGGAACACCGGUGGCGAAAAGC
rnacentral:rRNA from 1 species